rnacentral:rRNA from 1 species
GAUGAGCUCGCGUCCAAUAAGAUAGUUGGCGGGGUAAAGGCCCACCAAGUCGACGAUUGGUAGCCGGACUGAGAGGUUGAACGGCCACAUUGGGACUGAGAUACGGCCCAGACUCCUACGGGAGGCAGCAGUGGGGGAUAUUGCACAAUGGGGGAAACCCUGAUGCAGCAACGCCGCGUGAAGGAAGAAGGUCUUCGGAUUGUAAACUUUUGUCUUGCGGGACGAAUAAUGACGGUACCGCAGGAGGAAGCCACGGCUAACUACGUGCCAGCAGCCGCGGUAAUACGUAGGUGGCGAGCGUUGUCCGGAAUUACUGGGUGUAAAGGGUGCGUAGGCGGAUUUGCAGGUCAGGUGUGAAAACUAUCGGCUUAACCGGUAGCCUGCACUUGAAACUGUGAGUCUUGAGUGGUGAAGAGGUAAGCGGAAUUCCUAGUGUAGCGGUGAAAUACGUAGAUAUUAGGAGGAACACCAGUGGCGAAGGCGGCUUACUGGGCACUAACUGACGCUGAGGCACGAAAGCAUGGGGAGCAAACAGGAUUAGAUACCCUGGUAGUCCAUGCCGUAAA